GCAUAUUCUGUUUUCCGUUGGCGUCCAUGAAAGAGUAACAGGCUCCAGUCCCUUCACGUGUCCUGAAACUACUCACCUAUCUAAGAAUCUCAGCAUUAUUGGCAUAACUCCACCUCCCUGUGCCUUUCCUCUCACGGAAGGAAGCUGAAAGAAGGGAUGAGUCAUGAGAAGCACAUACAGAGCUGGCCUGUCAGUGGAGCCAUUACUGCUGAGAAUGACCAGAACGUGGGGCUCAAGAACAUCACCCUGUGAUAGAAGGUGGAGCCAAAAAGCUACUGCCCUCACAGCUGCCGUAAACCGCCUCUUGUCUUCCAGGAGGCUGGGAGCAAUAAAGGUCCAACUGAAUAAGUAUCCGUCCUUGUGAAGUUAUGAAGCAUUGUUAAACUACGCUCUAAAUCAAUUCUCACUGAAUCACAUCACUUGUUUCCCCUCAGAAACUUAGUGAUUAGAAGUCAGUGUGCCUUCUUAAU
ensembl:lncRNA